GGGUGCGAUCCUACCAGCACUAAUGCACCGGAUACCAUCAGAACUCCGCAGUUAAGCGUGCUUGGGCGAGAGUAGUA
rnacentral:rRNA from 1 species